rnacentral:lncRNA from 1 species
ACUAUGCUCUUUAAUUUUGAAGGUAUCCUUAAUCACGAGGCGCAGUUGGGUCGGUGUCUUCAGACUGAAAACCACUACAGAUUUAGAAAGGUUAACCUUCUGAUAUGACGCAGCAUAAUACUUAUGCAGGAUUAGACUUGGCAAUGGGUCGGAUGGGGUGCGGGUUUGGAUCGAUCCGAAUCCGACCCGAUAUCCGACGGAUCAACACUUUCUUUAUCCAUAUUCGAUCCAAUCGGAUAUCCACCCCACUUAAAUAAGAUUUUCUAGAUGAAAAUACAAGCAUUGAACAAUAACUAGUACUGUCAAAAUGAGCUGGUCCG